rnacentral:rRNA from 1 species
CUCGCGUUCUGCCAACGCUCUGGCGGUUCCCAGUUUUGGCAGGCCGUCGUCCAGCUGCUGCCGGUCUUGCGUAUAGGCACAUCCAUCUCGGUGGGCACUGGAGCCUCGACCUUGUUCUGGCUGGAUAGAUGGCUCGGAGAUUCCCCUCUAGCCGCCCGGUUCCCCAUCCUAUUCGACAUUGUAGUUGACCCUCGGGUCUCAGUCGAGGCGGCCCUUAUUGACUUAGAGCGCCUCGCGUUCCGCCGCCCUUUUGGCCCCGCUGAGGUGGCUGCCUGGGAUGUCCUCCUCCAGGACAUCGCCCUCUUACCUAUGGACGUGGCCGACUCUCCGGACGCCAUCUCCUGGCACCUAGAUCCCUCCGGCUACUUCUCCACUAAAUCCCUCUACGCGGCUAUUGCCCCCUCGUCAGCCCCGGAGCCCUUCGGUCUGAUCUGGGACAUCCGCCUCCCCCUAAAGAUUCGGAUCUUUCUUUGGCAAUGGAUCCGCGGCCGCCUCCCGACCGGCGUUGAGGUUCUUAAGCGCCAUGGUCCUGGCGAUGGAAUGUGCCCCCUGUGUGGCACGGUAGAGGACGCUAAUCACAUCUUCUUCUCUUGCUACACGGCACAGUUCCUUUGGUCUUGUUUCCGCGAAACGGUUGGGGGACAGUGGUGCAACACCAACUUCCCUGACUUGCUUGCGGAAAUUCAAGCCUCCCCCCUCGCUACAGACAUAUUAGAUGGCUGUGCGUCGGGGUUCUCGCCUGGACGUUGUGGACGGUUCGCAAUAAGCUUGUCAUUCAGAAGGUGCCCCUUCGGCGUGCUACUGACUCCAUCUUUAAAAUGUGUGGUUACUCGCAGCUCUGGCGGCCGCUUAGCCGCCCUCAGGACCGGGACGCCAUCAACAGACUCCUCACCGACCUCCGUUCGUUGGCCUUCCGCCUGGCGCCUCCGCUCCUGCCGCCACCCCCGGAGCCCGACUAGAGGAUGUUUCCCUCCUGGCGCGUGUGCCUUUUUGUGUGUGUGUGUUGGGCUUGUUGAGCUGUGCCCUCAGCCGUAA